rnacentral:lncRNA from 1 species
GUCUCUAUGGGUCUCUAUGGGGCUCUAUGGGGCACUGUGGGGCACUAUGGGUCUCUAUGGGGCUCUAUGGGUCUCUAUGCAUCUCUAUGGGGCGCUGUGGGUCUCUAUGGAGCACUAUGGGUCACAGUGGAUCUCUAUGGGGUUUCUAUGGGGCACAGUGGUUCUAUAUGGGGUUCUGUGGGGCUCUAUGGGGUCUCUAUGGGGUCUCUAUGGGGCGCUAUGGGGCACUAUGGGGCACUAUGGGGUCUCUAUGGAACUCUAUGGGGCUCUUUGGUUUUCUAUGGGGUUCUGUGGGGCUCUAUGGGUCGCUAUGGGUCGCUGUGGGUCCCGCUAUGGGUCGCUAUGGGUCUCUAUGGGGCACUAUGGGCUCUGUGUGUCUCUAUGGGGCACUGUGGGUCUUAAUGACUCUCUAUGGGUCGCUAUGGGUCUCUAUGGGUCGCUAUGGGUCUCUAUGGGUCGCUAUGGGUCUCUAUGGGGCUGCCCCACAGCUCUCCGGCUCAGCGGACGGAGCUGUGCUGCUGUGGGACGUCGCCGUGGGGCAGCGGCUGCGGGAACUCGGGGGGCUGACGUCCCCACCCUGCGCCGUGGGGGGACACGGCCGCAUCGUGCUGGCCGUGGGUCGCUGUGGGUCGCUGUGGGUCUGGGACAGCAGCGGGUUCCCCCGGUGUCGACGUCGGAGCCGCGCGGAGCCGCCGGCGGCGGCCGCCAUCGCCCCCCACGGUGAGCCCCGGUUAAUUAACCCCCUCGUUAAUUGGGAUCCUCGUUA